rnacentral:rRNA from 1 species
UACGAAGGGGGCUAGCGUUGUUCGGAAUUACUGGGCGUAAAGCGUGCGCCGGCGGCUUCUCAAGUCAGGGGUGAAAGCCCAGAGCUCAACUCUGGAAUUGCCUUUGAGACUGAGUGGCUUGAGUACGAGAGAGGUGAGUGGAAUUCCCAGUGUAGAGGUGAAAUUCGUAGAUAUUGGGAAGAACACCGGUGGCGAAGGCGGCUCACUGGCUCGUAACUGACGCUCAUGCACGACAGCGUGGGGAUCAAACAGG